CUUUUGGGAAGGGUCUCGGCGAAGUUGCCCCCCGACAUCGGCUUACUCCGCCCCAGGCUGAGGCGCCGGCGGGUGAAAACCGCCCAGUUUCACGAUUAUUGCUGCAUCCGCCCCGUCCCGAAUCCCGCCAUUCGGGGCUGCCCUGAAAAUCCCCGCCGAGGAGUGAGUUGCCCGAUGCUCAGAGUGCUGGAGGAGUUUCAUCCUUUGCUUUUAAAAAUACACCCAUGGGUUCUUCAGCUGGUUUCUUCAGGACAGAAGCAUUUCAGUAAAGGUGGCCGCUGCUUGUUUGAAGUCCGGUGGGAUCUAUGUAACAGCUGUACGCCAGUCUCUUUAAUGGAAAGACCCUGGGAGGGGUCUUAAUUUUAAGUCCAGUCCUUAAAUUUGGCAUUGCAAACCCAGGCUAGCAAUGAGGGC
rnacentral:lncRNA from 1 species